GUUCACAGUGGCGCACCGAGUAUAUAGCUGGAGAGAUUAAUAUACUACUGAUUGUCCCUAUGGAGGCAGAGUAUAAUAAAGCCAGAGAAAGAGAAUAUCUCAUAUAGUUACAUGAGCUAUGAGGUGCACAGCCCAUCAAUCUGGUCCUCCCUCCAGCCCAAAUACCCUCCACGCCAAUCGUGACAACUCAGGUUGUCUCCCUGGAGCCAAUCAUGUCAAUCCAAAUCAAGUGUUUGCGGUUUACUUUGAAAAAUUGAGAGUGUUCAAAGCAGGCCGAUCGCCUGCAUACUUCAGUUAGGAAUAAUGGAAUAGGACUCCGGUUCUAUUUUGUUGGUUUUCGGAACUGGGGCCAUGAUUAAGAGGGAUGGCUGGGUGCAUUUGUAUUGUGCCACUCAAGGUGAAAUUCUUGGACCGGCACAAGACGAACCAAAGUGAAACCAUUUGCUAAGAAUGUUUUCAUUAAUCAAUCAUUAAUUAAGAACAAAAGUCAGAGGUUCAAAGACAAUCAGAUUCCGCCGUAGUUUCGACCAUAAACGAUGUCGACUAGCGAUCCGGCAGCGUUUAUUUAUUUAUUUUAACAUGUAUAGCUUGGAGGAAAGACAAGACAGAAAUGAUAGAAACAUUUAAAU